AUUGAACGCUGGCGGCAGGCUCAACACAUGCAAGUCGAGCGGAUGAGUGGAGCUUGCUCCAUGAUUCAGCGGCGGACGGGUGAGUAAUGCCUAGGAAUCUGCCUGGUAGUGGGGGACAACGUUUCGAAAGGAACGCUAAUACCGCAUACGUCCUACGGGAGAAAGUGGGGGAUCUUCGGACCUCACGCUAUCAGAUGAGCCUAGGUCGGAUUAGCUAGUUGGUGAGGUAAAGGCUCACCAAGGCGACGAUCCGUAACUGGUCUGAGAGGAUGAUCAGUCACACUGGAACUGAGACACGGUCCAGACUCCUACGGGAGGCAGCAGUGGGGAAUAUUGGACAAUGGGCGAAAGCCUGAUCCAGCCAUGCCGCGUGUGUGAAGAAGGUCUUCGGAUUGUAAAGCACUUUAAGUUGGGAGGAAGGGCAGUAAGUUAAUACCUUGCUGUUUUGACGUUACCAACAGAAUAAGCACCGGCUAACUUCGUGCCAGCCGCCGCGGUAAAAC
rnacentral:rRNA from 1 species